GGUUAAGCGACUAAGCGUACACGGUGGAUGCCCUGGCAGUCAGAGGCGAUGAAGGACGUGCUAAUCUGCGAAAAGCGCCGGCGAGGUGAUAUGAACCCUUGACCCGGCGAUGUCCGAAUGGGGAAACCCAGUGCAAUCCGUUGCACUAUCGUUAACUGAAUACAUAGGUUAACGAGGCGAACCGGGGGAACUGAAACAUCUAAGUACCCCGAGGAAAAGAAAUCAACCGAGAUUCCCCCAGUAGCGGCGAGCGAACGGGGAGCAGCCCGGAGUCUGAAUCAGCUUGUGUGUUAGUGGAACGGUCUGGAAAGUCCGACGGUACAGGGUGAUAGUCCCGUACACGAAAGCACACAUGCUGUGAACUCGAAGAGUAGGGCGGGACACGUGGUAUCCUGUCUGAAUAUGGGGGGACCAUCCUCCAAGGCUAAAUACUCCUGACUGACCGAUAGUGAACCAGUACCGUGAGGGAAAGGCGAAAAGAACCCCGGCGAGGGGAGUGAAAAAGAACCUGAAACCGUGUACGUACAAGCAGUGGGAGCCUCUUUAUGGGGUGACUGCGUACCUUUUGUAUAAUGGGUCAGCGACUUAUAUUCUGUAGCAAGGUUAACCGUAUAGGGGAGCCGAAGGGAAACCGAGUCUUAACUGGGCGUUAAGUUGCAGGGUAUAGACCCGAAACCCGGUGAUCUAGCCAUGGGCAGGUUGAAGGUUGGGUAACACUAACUGGAGGACCGAACCGACUAAUGUUGAAAAAUUAGCGGAUGACCUGUGGCUGGGGGUGAAAGGCCAAUCAAACCGGGAGAUAGCUGGUUCUCCCCGAAAGCUAUUUAGGUAGCGCCUCGUGAACUCAUCUUCGGGGGUAGAGCACUGUUUCGGCUAGGGGGCCAUCCCGGCUUACCAACCCGAUGCAAACUACGAAUACCGAAGAAUGUUAUCACGGGAGACACACGGCGGGUGCUAACGUCCGUCGUGAAGAGGGAAACAACCCAGACCGCCAGCUAAGGUCCCAAAGUCAUGGUUAAGUGGGAAACGAUGUGGGAAGGCACAGACAGCCAGGAUGUUGGCUUAGAAGCAGCCAUCAUUUAAAGAAAGCGUAAUAGCUCACUGGUCGAGUCGGCCUGCGCGGAAGAUGUAACGGGGCUAAACCAUGCACCGAAGCUGCGGCAGCGACGCUUAUGUGUUGUUGGGUAGGGGAGCGUUCUGUAAGCCGUUGAAGGUGUGCUGUGAGGCAUGCUGGAGGUAUCAGAAGUGCGAAUGCUGACAUAAGUAACGAUAAAGCGGGUGAAAAGCCCGCUCGCCGGAAGACCAAGGGUUCCUGUCCAACGUUAAUCGGGGCAGGGUGAGUCGACCCCUAAGGCGAGGCCGAAAGGCGUAGUCGAUGGGAAACAGGUUAAUAUUCCUGUACUUGGUGUUACUGCGAAGGGGGGACGGAGAAGGCUAUGUCAGCCGGGCGACGGUUGUCCCGGUUUAAGCAUGUAGGCGGAGGUUCCAGGUAAAUCCGGUACCUUAUUAACGCUGAGGUGUGAUGACGAGGCACUACGGUGCUGAAGUGAUAAAUGCCCUGCUUCCAGGAAAAGCCUCUAAGCAUCAGGUAACACGAAAUCGUACCCCAAACCGACACAGGUGGUCAGGUAGAGAAUACCAAGGCGCUUGAGAGAACUCGGGUGAAGGAACUAGGCAAAAUGGUGCCGUAACUUCGGGAGAAGGCACGCUGAUGUGUAGGUGAAGCCCCUGCGGGUGGAGCUGAAAUCAGUCGAAGAUACCAGCUGGCUGCAACUGUUUAUUAAAAACACAGCACUGUGCAAACACGAAAGUGGACGUAUACGGUGUGACGCCUGCCCGGUGCCGGAAGGUUAAUUGAUGGGGUUAGCGGCAACGCGAAGCUCUUGAUCGAAGCCCCGGUAAACGGCGGCCGUAACUAUAACGGUCCUAAGGUAGCGAAAUUCCUUGUCGGGUAAGUUCCGACCUGCACGAAUGGCGUAAUGAUGGCCAGGCUGUCUCCACCCGAGACUCAGUGAAAUUGAACUCGCUGUGAAGAUGCAGUGUACCCGCGGCAAGACGGAAAGACCCCGUGAACCUUUACUAUAGCUUGACACUGAACACUGGUCCUUGAUGUGUAGGAUAGGUGGGAGGCUUUGAAGCGUGGACGCCAGUCUGCGUGGAGCCAACCUUGAAAUACCACCCUUUAAUGGCUGGUGUUCUAACGUAGACCCGUAAUCCGGGUUGCGGACAGUGUCUGGUGGGUAGUUUGACUGGGGCGGUCUCCUCCCAAAGAGUAACGGAGGAGCACGAAGGUUGGCUAAUCCUGGUCGGACAUCAGGAGGUUAGUGCAAUGGCAUAAGCCAGCUUGACUGCGAGCGUGACGGCGCGAGCAGGUGCGAAAGCAGGUCAUAGUGAUCCGGUGGUUCUGAAUGGAAGGGCCAUCGCUCAACGGAUAAAAGGUACUCCGGGGAUAACAGGCUGAUACCGCCCAAGAGUUCAUAUCGACGGCGGUGUUUGGCACCUCGAUGUCGGCUCAUCACAUCCUGGGGCUGAAGUAGGUCCCAAGGGUAUGGCUGUUCGCCAUUUAAAGUGGUACGCGAGCUGGGUUUAGAACGUCGUGAGACAGUUCGGUCCCUAUCUGCCGUGGGCGCUGGAGAAUUGAGGGGGGCUGCUCCUAGUACGAGAGGACCGGAGUGGACGCAUCACUGGUGUUCGGGUUGUCAUGCCAAUGGCACUGCCCGGUAGCUAAAUGCGGAAGAGAUAAGUGCUGAAAGCAUCUAAGCACGAAACUUGCCCCGAGAUGAGUUCUCCCUGAGACUUUAAGUCUCCUGAAGGAACGUUGAAGACGACGACGUUGAUAGGUCGGGUGUGUAAGCGCAGCGAUGCGUUGAGCUAACCGAUACUAAUGAACCGUGAGGCUUAACCUU
rnacentral:rRNA from 1 species